CACAUAUGUAUAUAUAUACUGGGUGAAUAUGUUCAGAUAUUUAAUACAAACUUCCAUAUAUUUAAUCACGAAUGUAAGUGAACAAAAGAUUCGCAACGAAUGACAGAGCUACGGUAGACGCCUUUUCCUAUUUUUCGCAAGAAACAUUUGUCAAACAACAAUGAACCGAAGCCAUUAGUCUGCGGUCAUACUGGGAAACUGCAUUCAAGAACUUUCGUCAAACGAAUUGACAUUAAUACUCAUGUUUCUAAACUCGAAACUGUCUUACAACGUGUUGUAGUAAUGAGCAGAACGGUUUAAGAAUUCGUCGUGAAAAUAUGAACUGGAUAUCCGCUUAAUAAUACUGAUGCCAGGAUUUUACUAAACCACAUAAAUAAUAAUUUCUUCAUAGGAUUAUAAAUAUCCUAUGAUCUUUAAUAGAAAAGGCAUUAAGGUGUGCUAUGGGUCUACUAAUAACUCGCUGCUUUCAUAACAAGAACAAACUGGAGAGACAUUUUCGGCACAAACAUCUAUACAAUUCUGCUCUGUAUAAUUGAAACACCUGAAUAUUUACUCUGUGUGUCAUUUUAACAUUGUAAAUAAAGCGAAACAAAAACUUAUAUAGUGUUUACUCCUAUUUGACAGUAAACAUGAUAUGUUUACUGCUAUUUUAGAGAAGAUGCAAGCAUUAUUCAUUUGUUUCCACACACACACAUAAAAAAACUGUACUACAACACUCUCGCAAUAUAUCUGGAGUUUAAAAUAUAACUUCAACAAUUGGGAAAACAAUAUUAUUUCAUUACAGAACAUGCACGUCCUUACCAUAAUAAAUGAAGAACAUGUAAUAUCAAAACAGUGCUUUAUAAUUUUGAACAAAUAUCAGCUGGUUAAUUAGUUCACUAUUAACUCAAUCGCGGUUUUUAAAGUCAUUGAACUGUAAUUGUAUAAUACCUGGAAGGUGUUUUUUAAUCUAUUUCCACGUGACUUAGAACACUGUGAAAAUAGUCAUCUGUUGAAAAUAACUUUAUGUUUUCCAACUCUGAGACUAUAUUAAUAAUAGACUGCUUCCAAAAAGCGUACACACAUACCACACACACACACACACACGCACACACAGACACACACAUACGCACAUAUAGCCGAGAAGUGAAAUGGGCGCACAUAUGUUUAUUCCAUUUGUUUACAGCUAUUUCAUAACCUUCUUCAUUAUAUAAUAGGUAUUAGGUCAACCUUUCCACGUAUAUAACAUAUAUAUAAAUAUUUACGCAUGUGUUCAACCAUAAGUUAUAAGUAUGCUGGAAGUAAAACAGACUGAUUUAUCUUCAGAACAACUGAUAGUAAUACAAAACAUCAAAUCUGUUAUACGGACCAAGAUGCGCCAGAAUAUAUCCAGAGGCGAUAGUGUCCUCAGCAGGUUCACACUUAUGAUUUACUUUAAAGAAGCAUGGCAAUCGAUCAAUGAAUAUUCAGAGAAGGAAGCAGUAGAGAAAUAUAAUAAAAAUGAAAACUAUCACAUAUAUAUAUCUUCUCAACUGUGACCGUCCCGUCUGUUUAUAUUAUUCAGACUUUAUGACCCGUUGUGACCAUCACCAUUUGAAAACGGAGUGUACAUUGUAGUUUAUCUGUUAUUGUUUGCAGACCAAGGAACAACCUGGAGACAUCAUCGUAUUUGUUUCUGCUAGUAAUACAAGAUAUAUUUCAUUGAAAACAUCGGUUCUUCUGCUCACUGUUUUCCAUUCGGCUUUACUUGUAAUUUCUAAACUACUUUAAAUGUUAUGAAAUCAUUUAAUGAACGAAAAGCAAAGAAAACUCAUCACUAUGAUCUACGUAGAUUCAUCAGAAUCUAAAAGCAAAAGUGAAAACAAAAAAUUCUGGCACGUUACCAAAAUCUCAAUUAGUUAUGUGGCAUAAUUUAUUUCAUGUGUGAACGAAUAUGGCACGUGACAGUAAACUAUGAGGUCAAGUAUUAGUAAUAGAUUCAUGUCAAAAGUGACUAAAAAUUUGCAGUAUAAACCACAUCAGUUACAAUUAGUGUGAGUGCUGUAAAAAUAUUUAUGAAAUGGCCUGUGAAAAUAGAGAGGAAACUGCGGCAGUAUCUAAAAUCACAGUUGGAAUGGAGGUUUAUAUGUGUGGGAUUGUUUCUCAACGGUUUUAUACAUAUACCAUUGUUGAUUUCUUUCUACGUGGCAAAUAUAUAUUUUAUUUCUUCUUUUGUUUUUUUUAUAAAUUUGGUUACCUCAUGCUAGAAGUUUCUUUGAUAUAUGAGAUAACUUGUUUGUGAAAAUAUUGGCUACAAAAUGGUAUGUUAACAAUGUUGUGUAUAAAGUUUUACAAAUAAAAAUGCUAGUGAUAAAUGAUAAAUCUAGGGAUUUAACACUAGAGGUACCGAGCGAUCAUUUAUGACCGCUUUUUCAUUUUACAUUUUAAUUUCAACGACUGUAUUGGAUGUGAAAUCCUGAAUAUCCUUUCAUAUAUGUGUAUAUAAUUUUUUUUUCUUUGUACGUACAUAAAUACUAAAAGGCUGUAUUUACAAAUCCUUUAUACAAUGCAUUAACUUAUGUUAAAGAUAAAAUGUAUUAAAGAUUUUCAAUGCCGGUCAAAUACGACCGCUACGGUACUUCUAGGCAGUAAGAAUUACUGGUACUUCUAGUGUUAAAUCCGUCAUUAUUCGGAGUGUGCUGUAUUAUAUGGAGGCAUUUCUUCCUAUUUUUCGUUCUGGAUUCAAAUUACACUGGGGACGACUUUACAUUUUAUCCUUUCAAGAUCAAUAAAAUAAAGUACCAGUUCAAUACUGGUUCCCUGAAUUUCCUUGCCAUGUGGAAAAUUUGAAACCAAUUCCUUAGUAAGUAUUUUGUGUUGCUGGAGCUUUGAUUAUCUUUUGCUCGUAUGAAACACAUCACAAGGUAUCCGAAGGAUUUAUGUGUUUGCAAAUUCUACACAUAGCUCUGUUAAACUGAGCGACAGAUUAAUUUGUCUACAAAUGUAUUCUAUAGUAAAAUUGGAACUCAGAACACAAAGACCUGGAGGAAAUAGCCUAAGACAUCCUGUCUCUACGUUUUUACGCUUCUACCAAGUGAUUGCAGUGAAUUCGUAGUUCUAUUUAAGAAUACCGAGGUACAGAAAUGCAAAUUUGAACUCGGUGAAAUUUGAACUCUGAGCACCAAAUACCUGAACGCUAAGAGCGUGGUAUUCUAUCUAACGCUCGUACAAUUCUACCAAAUACCUUGUCACAGUCGUAGUGACGGCGUUGACCGAGAUUUUAGGUUUGUACAAUGCUAUGUUUUUUUUCCAAAUGACGGAAUUAAUCAAUUGCAUUAAAACAGGUCACGUUCAGUACAUUUUUCAUCUUCUCGGUGACAAAACAAGCAAAGUUUACUCUGCAAGAGACAAAAUUAGAUGCAUUAUUUAUUUACAAAUGAGUGUAUAUAUAUUUGCCUAUGUGCGUAUGCGUAAUGUAUGUGGACUUACAUGUGUUUUUGCCUGUACAUGUAUAAAGGUAGAUAAUUGAGCAGAUGACGUGUGAGCAGAGAAGUGAGCGAUGUAAAAAAAUA